rnacentral:rRNA from 1 species
AUUGAACGCUGGCGGCAGGCUUAACACAUGCAAGUCGAGCGGAGAUGAGGUGCUUGCACCUUAUCUUAGCGGCGGACGGGUGAGUAAUGCUUAGGAAUCUGCCUAUUAGUGGGGGACAACAUUCCGAAAGGAAUGUUAAUACCGCAUACGCCCUACGGGGGAAAGCAGGGGAUCUUCGGACCUUGCGCUAAUAGAUGAGCCUAAGUCGGAGUAGCUAGUUGGUGGGGUAAAGGCCUACCAAGGCGACGAUCUGUAGCGGGUCUGAGAGGAUGAUCCGCCACACUGGGACUGAGACACGGCCCAGACUCCUACGGGAGGCAGCAGUGGGGAAUAUUGGACAAUGGGCGGAAGCCUGAUCCAGCCAUGCCGCGUGUGUGAAGAAGGCCUUUUGGUUGUAAAGCACUUUAAGCGAGGAGGAGGCUACCUGGAUUAAUACUCUAGGAUAGUGGACGUUACUCGCAGAAUAAGCACCGGCUAACUCUGUGCCAGCCGCCGCAGUAAGAC